rnacentral:lncRNA from 1 species
GUUUUCAAACAGGGGUACUUAACCGAAACUAGCAAUCCCAGGCGGUACAAGGCCCUCCAUCGUAGGCAAAGCACUACCUGAAUGUAGAUUUGGGCCAUACGUUGGAAAAUAAGACAUGAGAGUAUGCUCCGAUCAACUUUUACUGUUCACUGGACAACUAUUUUGGGAAUUUGCAGACCUAUAAAGCCCAUCUAUAAAUCUCAAGCAUGUCCACUUUCAGAGAAGAGAAAUGCUGACAACCAUUUAGUCUCUGAGGACAACACUUUUAAAGGACUCCAUCAUAGGACUGGAGAGAGAUUGGAUGUCAGAGUGAUUGAUGUGCUCCUACUGGAAGAAGGCAAACAUCCAUAUGUGAACUGCCUGUGGGGUUUCCAAGGAAAGGAACGGCAGGCAGCCUCUAUGAGCUUAAAGAAGAUAACUGGGACUUUAGUCCUAUAACCUCAAGGAACAGUAUUCUGUGAACCAUCUGAGAAGCUUGGAAGAGGACCCCAAACUCCAAAUAAGAAGCUCAGUGUGUCUGACACCUUGACUGCAGGCUUGGGAGGUCCUGAGCAGAAGAUCCAGUUCAACAGUGCCUGGACUCCUGAUCCACAAAAACUGAUAACAAAUAUUUAUUGUUUUAAGAUGCUAAGUUUGUAGUCAUUUUUUAUACAGCAACAGAAAACUAAACACACACAUAAACAGUUAUAAGUGCUCACUGUAUAUGAGGCUUUUCAUUAAUAAUCUAUAUUUUAUAAUAGAAUUAGAAUAUAGAUCUGUGAAGCUGAAGACACUCAAUCCUUGCUAGAUUUAAAUCAGGAAAAUCAGCUGAGAAUCAUUCCUUGAUAGAACCUGGAAAACAAGACCCUAUGAGAGACCCUGGGAAUUACAUUAAAUUCACUGUGGUUCCCAGUGUCACUGAAGAGGUUUUCCUUUCAUAGUCAGGUAGUCACCAUACUGUUAAGCAUUUGAACACAUGGGCAACUUCCAGAAUAGUUAUGACAUUGAUAUACCAAUCUCCAAAAUUCCUAGAAUACCAUGUUUUCAUGGUUGACCUUCAAAUCAGUCAGUUCUUUGUAACAUUGAGCCAUAAAGAUAGGGCAAAUACUUAAUGUUUUACAUAUAUUCAGAGAUUGACCCUCAAAAUACAGCCCAGAGAAACUCAAAAGAAUUAACUCUAUUUCUUCAAAUUGUGUGACGCCACCAAGGCCAGAUGACUUCAGCAUUGGGAAGGCAAUAUCCAGCUGUCAUCUUCUUGAUCCUCAUAUGCUACUACUAGCAUCUAGCAUUUACUGAGCAGAUAGUUUUAUUGUCCAGUUUUUAAAGAUAAGAAAAUUGAGGUAUUAGGAAAGUUAAGUUGGUUGCCUAGGGAAACACGAAGAUAUAGCCCAGAUUCACUCCCAGGCAGGCAGAUGCCAGUGUCUGCUCUCUUUACCACCGAAAUAUCCUGCUACAUGUACAAUUUCAAUAAAUAUCUGGACUUACUGGAACAAAACAAAUCAACAA